GGCAGCAGCCGCGGUAACACCGGCGGCCCGAGUGGUGAUCGUGAUUAUUGGGUCUAAAGGGUCCGUAGCCGGUUUGGUCAGUCCUCCGGGAAAUCUGAUAGCUCAACUAUUAGGCUUUCGGGGGAUACUGCCAGACUUGGAACCGGGAGAGGUAAGAGGUACUACAGGGGUAGGAGUGAAAUCUUGUAAUCCCUGUGGGACCACCUGUGGCGAAGGCGUCUUACCAGAACGGGUUCGACGGUGAGGGACGAAAGCUGGGGGCACGAACCGGAUUAGAUACCCGGGUAGUCCCAGCCGUAAACGAUGCUCGCUAGGUGUCAGGCAUGGCGCGACCGUGUCUGGUGCCGCAGGGAAGCCGUGAAGCGAGCCACCUGGGAAGUACGGCCGCAAGGCUGAAACUUAAAGGAAUUGGCGGGGGAGCACAACAACGGGUGGAGCCCUGCGGUUUAAUUGGACUCAACGCCGGACAACUCACCGGGGGCGACAGCAAUAUGUAGGCCAAGCUGAAGACUUUGCCUGAAUCGCUGAGAAGAGGUGCAUGG
rnacentral:rRNA from 1 species